UCCGAAAUAGCUUUUAGGGCUAGCCUCAAGUGAUGAUUAUUGGAGGUAGAGCACUGUUUGGACGAGGGGCCCCUCUCGGGUUACCGAAUUCAGACAAACUCCGAAUGCCAAUUAAUUUAACUUGGGAGUCAGAACAUGGGUGAUAAGGUCCGUGUUCGAAAGGGAAACAGCCCAGACCACCAGCUAAGGUCCCAAAAUAUAUGUUAAGUGGAAAAGGAUGUGGCGUUGCCCAGACAACUAGGAUGUUGGCUUAGAAGCAGCCAUCAUUUAAAGAGUGCGUAAUAGCUCACUAGUCGAGUGACACUGCGCCGAAAAUGUACCGGGGCUAAACAUAUUACCGAAGCUGUGGAUUGUCCUUUGGACAAUGGUAGGAGAGCGUUCUAAGGGCGUUGAAGCAUGAUCGUAAGGACAUGUGGAGCGCUUAGAAGUGAGAAUGCCGGUGUGAGUAGCGAAAGACGGGUGAGAAUCCCGUCCACCGAUUGACUAAGGUUUCCAGAGGAAGGCUCGUCCGCUCUGGGUUAGUCGGGUCCUAAGCUGAGGCCGACAGGCGUAGGCGAUGGAUAACAGGUUGAUAUUCCUGUACCACCUAUAAUCGUUUUAAUCGAUGGGGGACGCAGUAGGAUAGGCGAAGCGUGCGAUUGGAUUGCACGUCUAAGCAGUAAGGCUGAGUAUUAGGCAAAUCCGGUACUCGUUAAGGCUGAGCUGUGAUGGGGAGAAGACAUUGUGUCUUCGAGUCGUUGAUUUCACACUGCCGAGAAAAGCCUCUAGAUAGAAAAUAGGUGCCCGUACCGCAAACCGACACAGGUAGUCAAGAUGAGAAUUCUAAGGUGAGCGAGCGAACUCUCGUUAAGGAACUCGGCAAAAUGACCCCGUAACUUCGGGAGAAGGGGUGCUCUUUAGGGUUAACGCCCAGAAGAGCCGCAGUGAAUAGGCCCAAGCGACUGUUUAUCAAAAACACAGGUCUCUGCUAAACCGUAAGGUGAUGUAUAGGGGCUGACGCCUGCCCGGUGCUGGAAGGUUAAGAGGAGUGGUUAGCUUCUGCGAAGCUACGAAUCGAAGCCCCAGUAAACGGCGGCCGUAACUAUAACGGUCCUAAGGUAGCGAAAUUCCUUGUCGGGUAAGUUCCGACCCGCACGAAAGGCGUAACGAUUUGGGCACUGUCUCAACGAGAGACUCGGUGAAAUCAUAGUACCUGUGAAGAUGCAGGUUACCCGCGACAGGACGGAAAGACCCCGUGGAGCUUUACUGUAGCCUGAUAUUGAAAUUCGGCACAGCUUGUACAGGAUAGGUAGGAGCCUUUGAAACGUGAGCGCUAGCUUACGUGGAGGCGCUGGUGGGAUACUACCCUAGCUGUGUUGGCUUUCUAACCCGCACCACUUAUCGUGGUGGGAGACAGUGUCAGGCGGGCAGUUUGACUGGGGCGGUCGCCUCCUAAAAGGUAACGGAGGCGCUCAAAGGUUCCCUCAGAAUGGUUGGAAAUCAUUCAUAGAGUGUAAAGGCAUAAGGGAGCUUGACUGCGAGACCUACAAGUCGAGCAGGGUCGAAAGACGGACUUAGUGAUCCGGUGGUUCCGCAUGGAAGGGCCAUCGCUCAACGGAUAAAAGCUACCCCGGGGAUAACAGGCUUAUCUCCCCCAAGAGUUCACAUCGACGGGGAGGUUUGGCACCUCGAUGUCGGCUCAUCGCAUCCUGGGGCUGUAGUCGGUCCCAAGGGUUGGGCUGUUCGCCCAUUAAAGCGGUAACGCGAGCUGGGUUCAGAACGUCGUGAGACAGUUCGGUCCCUAUCCGUCGUGGGCGUAGGAAAUUUGAGAGGAGCUGUCCUUAGUACGAGAGGACCGGGAUGGACAUACCUCUGGUGUACCAGUUGUCGUGCCAACGGCAUAGCUGGGUAGCUAUGUGUGGACGGGAUAAGUGCUGAAAGCAUCUAAGCAUGAAGCCCCCCUCAAGAUGAGAUUUCCCAACUUCGGUUAUAAGAUCCCUCAAAGAUGAUGAGGUUAAUAGGUUCGAGGUGGAAGCAUGGUGACAUGUGGAGCUGACGAAUACUAAUCGAUCGAAGACUUAAUCA
rnacentral:rRNA from 1 species